rnacentral:rRNA from 1 species
GACGAACGCUGGCGGCGUGCUUAACACAUGCAAGUCGAACGAAGAGCGAUGGAAGCUUGCUUCUAUCAAUCUUAGUGGCGAACGGGUGAGUAACGCGUAAUCAACCUGCCCUUCAGAGGGGGACAACAGUUGGAAACGACUGCUAAUACCGCAUACGAUCUAAUCUCGGCAUCGAGGAUAGAUGAAAGGUGGCCUCUACAUGUAAGCUAUCACUGAAGGAGGGGAUUGCGUCUGAUUAGCUAGUUGGAGGGGUAACGGCCCACCAAGGCGAUGAUCAGUAGCCGGUCGGAGAGGAUGAACGGCCACAUUGGGACUGAGACACGGCCCAGACUCCUACGGGAGGCAGCAGUGGGGAAUCUUCCGCAAUGGACGAAAGUCUGACGGAGCAAUGCCGCGUGAGCGAUGACGGCCUUCGGGUUGUAAAGCUCUGUUAAUCGGGACGAAAGGCCUUCUUGCGAAUAGUGAGAAGGAUUGACGGUACCGGAAUAGAAAGCCACGGCUAACUACGUG